CAGUAGCCGCGGUAAUACGGAGGGUGCAGGCGUUAAUCGGAAUUACUGGGCGUAAAGCGCACGCAGGCGGUCUGACAAGUCAGAUGUGAAAUCCCCGGGCUUAACCUGGGAACUGCAUUUGAAACUGUCAGGCUGGAGUCUUGUAGAGGGGGGUGGAAUUCCAGGUGUAGCGGUGAAAUGCGUAGAGAUCUGGAGGAAUACCGGUGGCGAAGGCGGCCCUCUGGACAAAGACUGACGCUCAGGUGCGAAAGCGUGGGGAGCAAACAGGAUUAGAUACCCGCGUAGUCCCUGUCUCUUAUAC
rnacentral:rRNA from 1 species